AACCCAGCCAUCAACUUUUUCAAGCUCCCUUAGUGCAACAGAAUUCGAAGAAAGAGAGAAGGGAUGAGACUUCUGCCAAAACUCCAAGGUAAACCUUGGCUCUAAUUCCUCAACUUCCUUCUUGAAUUUCAGCCUGCAUUCAGUAUGAAAACAAUCCACAAUUCAUUUCAGUUCCUAUCCUCUGGAUUCAACAACAGCAGCAGCCAACCAUGCACCAAACAUUCGCAAAGCAUUCAAGGUCAAGUAGGCGAGUAAAAGCUAGUCAGGAGUCACUAAGCUAUGGCAAAGGUUUGCUUAUCAGGUUGAGCAAUGGUUGAUGAAGAUGAAGUGAGGAGCGGAGCUUUUGUCAUAAGUUGAUUGAAUAAACUCUUGGAUACAUGUCUUCAUACAUGUAAUCAGAUUAUUAUUUCCGCUGCGUAUUCUUAAGUAAUAAGCCUUUUGAAUUAAGUCGGAUUCAUCCGAACUUACUAGUUAUUCGAAUCUUUGUGGCUAAACUUAAGUUAUAUUAUAAAUGUCCCCUUCACUGUCAAUGAUUAAG